rnacentral:lncRNA from 1 species
CCUGGAAGUUAGAAUGAUGGAUUAAUUUCUUACGCUAGUCUAAUACCAUGUUAUUGUUGCAAGUUAGAGGGAGUUGAGAGGUUGCCUCGAUCAAACCUUGCAUGCAAUUUACUGUAACUUAUGUUCGAUGUAAAUUAAGUUCUCUUCCUUCAGGAAAAAAAUGAGAGUGAGAGGCAUUUGGUCCCACUGAAAAAGUUGUGUCCGAUAUGUGGGCUGGACUUUCCUUUAAUGGACGAGCCCAACAUGUGAAAUGUUUAAUAAUGGGGUUAAAGAGUACGGAGACAGAGUUUGAACUCAGGAUCUCUGCUCUGAUACCAUGUUAAAAUCACCACUUGUCCCAAAAGCUUAAGCUAAUAGGAUAAGGUAGAUUUAUUUAUAUAUUUUAUAUUGUUGGCAGCGCCUUCACUAUCACCUGCGGGUUUUAGUGAGAUGGCAGUGCCUACGAUCCUAAUAGUUGAGAGGUUGCCUCGAUCAAACCUUGCAUGCAAUUUACUGUAACUUAUGUUCGAUGUAAAUUAAGUUCUCUUCCUUCAGGAAAAAAUGAGAGUGAGAGGCAGUUGGUCCCACUGAAAAAGUUGUGUUUGGUUGAAGGCCAGACAAAGAGACUCACAGUGAAGGGAGGAAGGAGAGAGGGGAGAGAGAGAGAGAGAGCACAUGGGAAGUCGGAGGUGGGCUCCAGUGUAAGAUUGUAAGUUAGC